AGAAUCCCGCCACCGUUCGGUUCAACGAAACGGAACACGGUUUGAAUCCGUGGCGGGCCCGCCGCUGUAUCCGGGGACGGACGUUGCAAGGUCGAGAGACCAGCCACUGACGGGGUUUACCCCGCUGGGAAGGCGCAACGUUCCGGCUGAUCCGGGAGCCAGAAGACGUGUUGAACCGAAGCGGAGUCC
rnacentral:ncRNA from 2 species